ACCCAGUUGACGAGUCUUAAAUAAGAUGAAACGCGUGUCUUGGAU
rnacentral:hammerhead_ribozyme from 1 species